GUAGUAAAUUUUAUAACCUUAGCUCACGCAACUGUUAUACACCGUUAAAAAUUACUUACGGAAUAUGAUGUCAGAGAUAUAUUUUAUAAUUGAUAGUACUAUACAAACACUAGGUACCUAACUAAUAACUAGGGUUAGAAUUUAUAUGCAAUAAAAAAUUGUAAAAUAUGCAUUUUAUUUACCAACAUGUGAAAAAAUAUACAAAAACACGUUUUUUAUUUCUACUAAACAUAUAAAAUUUAAAUUGUGUCCGUGUAGGUA